rnacentral:rRNA from 1 species
GUCUAUGGCCAUGCCACCCUGAAUAAGCCUUAUCCCAUCCAAUCUCGGAAGCUAAGUAGAGUCUGGUUAGUUCUUGGAUGGGAGACCACCUAGAAAGACCAGGUGCUGUAAGCG